CGCGGGGUAGAGCAGUGGUAGCUCGUCGGGCUCAUAACCCGGAGGUCGCAGGUUCGAAUCCUGCCCCCGCUACCA
rnacentral:tRNA from 1 species